GGGGUGCUAGUAGAAGAAAUACACUGCUUUGUCAAGGCAGAGUUGCAGAGGUAAGUCCUGCGUACUCCU
rnacentral:tRNA from 1 species